rnacentral:rRNA from 1 species
UACGGGGGGGGCAAGCGUUGUUCGGAGUUACUGGGCGUAAAGGGCGCGUAGGCGGCCUGCUAAGUCGGACGUGAAAUCCCCGGGCUCAACCCGGGAACUGCGUCCGAUACUGGAUGGCUUGAAUCCGGGAGAGGGAUGUGGAAUUCCAGGUGUAGCGGUGAAAUGCGUAGAUAUCUGGAGGAACACCGGUGGCGAAGGCGGCAUCCUGGACCGGUAUUGACGCUGAGGCGCGAAAGCCAGGGGAGCAAACGGG